AGAGAAAUUAAAUUAUAUUUGAAAAAUAAUUUAUUAAAAUAAUUAAUAGUAAUUUUUAAUGAAUAAAAUUUAUAUAACUAUAGUGAAGAGUACUGUGAAGGAAGGAUUAAAGUGGAAAAGAAAAAAUAAAGUAAGGAUUUGUUUUUGUACCUUGUGUAUCAGGGAAAAUUAAUAUAAUAUUAAUUAUUAUUAAAGAUCUCGAAAUAAAAAUAGCUAAUUUUAUAAGAAAGUUUUUGUAAUAUAAAAAUUUUUAAUAUGAAAUUAGAAGUGAAAUGUUAAUCGGGUUUUAUAAUAUCUAGUUCUCUGUGAAAUAAAUAUAAUUUAGGCUUUAUAGGUAAAAAUAUAAAGAAAAAAAAUAGAAGGGAAAAGCUUUUUAUUUAAAACAAUAAUUGAAUAGAAUAAAAUAAGUUUAUCUAAGCUUAAAAGUAGCUAUGUUUAUAAAGUGUUUUAACUAAAAAUAAGAUUAGUAUUAUUUUUAUGAGAUUUUAGUGUGUAUUAGGGAUUUAUUUAUAAUUUUAUAUAAUAAAAUAAAAUAAUUUUAUUAGUAGAAGUGAUUAUAUUUAGAGAAAAAGUAGAAUGAUAGAGGAAAUAACAAUUUAAUAAUUAAAUGAAAUAGAGGAAUUCGGCAAAUAUUUCUUUGCCUGUUUAUCAAAAACAUGUUUGUUUGGAGUUAUAAAGAAUUUGACCUGCCCCCUGAUUAACUAUUAAAGGGCCGCAGUAUUAUAACUGUGCAAAGGUAGCAUAAUCAUUAGGUUUUUAAUUGAAAUCUCGUAUGAAUGGUUGGACAAAAGAAAGACUCUCUUUAUAUUAAGUUUUGAAUUUAACUUUUAAGUGAAAAGGCUUAAAUAUUCUAAAGGGACGAUAAGACCCUAUAAAACUUUACAUUGUUAUUAGUUUUGAUUGAAUUUAUGAAAUAAGAAUUUUAUUUGAUUAUUUGUUAUGUUGGGGAGACACAAGUAAAAUAUUUUUUUAACUGCUUGACAAUUAUACAAUUAUUAGUGAGUAAGUAGAAGAUCCUUUUUAAGAUUAGUAGAUUAAGUUACUUUAGGGAUAACAGUGUAAUUUCUUUUGAGAGUUCUUAUCGAAAAAGAAGGUUGCAACCUCGAUGUUGAAUUAAAAUAUCUAUAUAAUGGAGAGGUUAUAUAAGAAGGUCUGUUCGACCUUGAAAUUUUUACAUGAUUUGAGUUCAAACCGGUGUAAGCCAGGUUGGUUUCUAUCUUUUAGGUAAAAGUGAUUAUUUUAGUACGAAAGGAGUAAGUAAUCAAAAUAAUUUUGAAAUUGAGUAUUAUUUUAAUAUU
rnacentral:rRNA from 1 species